rnacentral:lncRNA from 1 species
CAUCGAAGCCUUUCCCAUCUCCUCUGUUGCUUGUUGUUCAAUUCUAUUUCAGAUAAUCAAAAUUCCAUUAUUUUAUUUGUUUAAAUCACGCACGUUGCACCCCGGGCUUCUCUGAGAGUUCUCUCUGAAGAUGGAAGCCCCAAUGCUCGUGCUAAAACGUCGCCGUUAAGUGUUGCAGUUUAGCUUUGCUCCCCACGGUUUUUGUGUGUCAAAUCGACGGCUAUAUCUCCCCCAAGCUUAUCCCUUUUUAUGAAUUUCAGUACUGUAUGGUACGCCUCGACACACCUUGAGCCUGUUUUUGAAGAUUCUCCGAAAACAGAGCUAGUCAUGGAGGCGCAAAGCGAUUGCGGUGUCAACGUGGGGGUUUAUCUGUUUUGAUGGUUUUGCCUCUAACAACGUCCGCUAGAUUUGUCCUCUUUAGAUCUCCAAAUUCAGUAUUUUUGAUUGAAUUUUGGCGAUGAUUACAAAUUAUCCGCGCUUCUGAGAGCAAUCUAUGAAGCAGAAUGUGAUAAUCAAUGGUUGAAUUUCUUGAUAUGAGCCAUGAUUUGUGCUUUUUUUGUUAAUUUAUGUUUUGAGUUGUUGAAAAGUUUGCAUAUUUUUCAUAUCUGUUUUGGCAAUGAUGACUAAAUUUACAGCUUUAUGCCAGUUCUGCUUCAGAAAAUUCGUGAUCGAUAGAGCUGUUUC